rnacentral:rRNA from 1 species
GACGAACGCUGGCGGCGUGCUUAACACAUGCAAGUCGAACGGUGAAGCUCCAGCUUGCUGGAGUGGAUCAGUGGCGAACGGGUGAGUAACACGUGAGCAACCUGCCCCAGACUCUGGAAUAAGCGCUGGAAACGGCGUCUAAUACUGGAUACGAGAUCAAGCCGCAGGGUUAUGGUCUGGAAAGGUUUUCGGUUUGGGAUGGGCUCGCGGCCUAUCAGCUUGUUGGUGAGGUAAUGGCUCACCAAGGCGACGACGGGUAGCCGGCCUGAGAGGGCGACCGGCCACACUGGGACUGAGACACGGCCCAGACUCCUACGGGAGGCAGCAGUGGGGAAUAUUGCACAAUGGGCGAAAGCCUGAUGCAGCGACGCCGCGUGAGGGAUGACGGCCUUCGGGUUGUAAACCUCUUUCAGCAGGGAAGAAGCGAAAGUGACGGUACCUGCAGAAGAAGCACCGGCUAACUACGUGC